rnacentral:rRNA from 1 species
UACGUAGGGUGCAAGCGUUGUCCGGAAUUAUUGGGCGUAAAGAGCUCGUAGGCGGUUCGUCGCGUCGGCUGUGAAAUCCCGGAGCUCAACUCCGGGUCUGCAGUCGAUACGGGCGGACUCGAGUUCGGCAGGGGAGACUGGAAUUCCUGGUGUAGCGGUGAAAUGCGCAGAUAUCAGGAGGAACACCGGUGGCGAAGGCGGGUCACUGGGCCGGUACUGACGCUGAGGAGCGAAAGCGUGGGGAGCGAACAGG